GACGAACGCUGGCGGCGUGCUUAACACAUGCAAGUCGAACGGAAAGGCCCUGCUUUUGUGGGGUGCUCGAGUGGCGAACGGGUGAGUAACACGUGAGUAACCUGCCCUUGACUUUGGGAUAACUUCAGGAGACUGGGGCUAAUACCGGAUAGGAGCUCCUGCUGCAUGGUGGGGGUUGGAAAGUUUCGGCGGUUGGGGAUGGACUCGCGGCUUAUCAGCUUGUUGGUGGGGUAGUGGCUUACCAAGGCUUUGACGGGUAGCCGGCCUGAGAGGGUGACCGGCCACAUUGGGACUGGGAUACGGCCCAGACUCCUACGGGAGGCAGCAGUGGGGAAUAUUGCACAAUGGGCGGAAGCCUGAUGCAGCAACGCCGCGUGCGGGAUGACGGCCUUCGGGUUGUAAACCGCUUUCGCCUGUGACGAAGCGUGAGUGACGGUAAUGGGUAAAGAAGCACCGGCUAACUACGUG
rnacentral:rRNA from 1 species